GGAGUUGGGGUUGUACACCGCCCGUGGUGCAUUUGCAGGCGUGUGCGCUGAGCUGUUCGAGGUGUUGGGAUGAACUUGGUUUUGAGGCCAGCUUGCUGGUACCCGGACCGGGGGAGUGCCAUUCGCCUUGGGCUUUAUGUUGGAUAUGGCUUACGGGCUCGUAUGGGCGCCGAGCUGGUCGUCGGCGGCGGUCGCAUGCGACACGUGCUGUGCGUGCCAGUUCGGUCCUGUGCGAGCUCACAUGUCCCAGGCUCAGUGUAAGAGCUGGUCAUCUAUCCGACCCGUCUUGAAACACGGACCAAGGAGUUUAUCGUGUGCGCAAGUCAUUGGGUGUUGAAAACCCAGAGGCGCAAUGAAAGUGAAGGCAUCCCUCGCGGAGCCGACGUGCGAGCACGGGCACUGCGGUGUCCGAGUGCAGCAUGGCCCCAUCCUGACUGCUUGCAGUGGGGUGGAGGAAGAGCGUACGCGGUGAGACCCGAAAGAUGGUGAACUAUUCCUGAGCAGGAUGAAGCCAGAGGAAACUCUGGUGGAAGUCCGAAGCGAUUCUGACGUGCAAAUCGAUCGUCUGACUUGGGUAUAGGGGCGAAAGACUAAUCGAACCAUCUAGUAGCUGGUU
rnacentral:rRNA from 1 species